rnacentral:tRNA from 1 species
UUUAAUGAGGUGAUGUAUGCAUUUUACAUUUUGGAUGUAAAGGUGAUUAGUAAUCCGUUAAAU